AUUGCACGCUGGCGGCAGGCCUAACACAUGCAAGUCGAACGAGUGGCGGACGGGUGAGUAAUGUCUGGGAAACUGCCCGAUGGAGGGGGAUAACUACUGGAAACGGUAGCUAAUACCGCAUACCAUCGGAUGUGCCCAGAUGGGAUUAGCUAGUAGGUGGGGUAACGGCGCACCUAAGCGACGAUCCCUAGCUGGUCUGAGAGGAUGACCAGCCACACUGGAACUGUGACACGGUCCAGAGGCCUACGGGAGGCAGCAGGGGGGAAGAUGGCAGAAUGGGCGCAAGCCUGAUGCAGCCAUGCCGCGUGUAUGAAGAGGGCCUUCGGGUUGUAAAGUACUUUCAGCGAGGAGGCGUUACUCGCAGAAGAAGCAUCGGCUAACUCCGUGCCAGCAGCCGCGGUAAUUC
rnacentral:rRNA from 1 species